rnacentral:tmRNA from 1 species
GGGGACGUUUUGGAUUUGACAGGAUGUUUGGUGAAAAUAGGUUGCGGGUCCGGGCGCUGUUCCCGGUAAUCAACGAGCAAAACAAAUUAAAUGCUAAAAAUAAUGUAAUCGAAGCUGACUUCUCUAGAGCUUACGCUUUAGCUGCUUAGUCCUUUGACGAAUAGCUACUUAUAGAACCCAGCUUGCCGGUUUUAUAGGUCAAUGAUGCAAGACGCAGUACACUAACAGAAGGUAAGUGUAUCAAGAUAACCUUCAAGGGUUUAGAGUUUCCCUGCCAAAUAAAACCUAGGGCUAAUUCAACGGUUUUGAUACUUCCCGGGAUUAGUUGAGCUGAUAAGUACCUACACUCGUAGAGAUUUAUUUUGAUCCAUUUUGGACGUGGGUUCGACUCCCACCGUCUCCA